rnacentral:rRNA from 1 species
ACAUCUAAGGAAGGCAGCAGGCGCGUAAAUUACCCAAUCCUAAUUCAGGGAGGUAGUGACAAGAAAUAACAACUCGGGCCUCACACGAGGUUACGAGAUUGCAAUGAGAACAAUUUAAACCUCUUAUCGAGUAACAAUUGGAGGGCAAGUCUGGUGCCAGCAGCCGCGGUAAUUCCAGCUCCGAUAGCGUAUACUAAAGUUGUUGCAGUUAAAAAGCUCGUAGUUGAAUAUCUGGCCGGUGGUGUGUUGGCUCCCUGAGUUGAUGCAUCGCCUGGUUAUCCGUAUGGGAAGCUAGCUCGGCCUUCACUGGUCGGCUAGUGGAUCAUACACUUUACUUUGAAAAGAUUAGAGUGUUUCAGGCAGGCAAUUGCUUGGAUACUUGAGCAUGGAAUAAUGGAAUAGGACUUUGACCUAUUUGUUGGUUUCUCGAGGUCAAAGUAAUGAUUAAUAGGGAUUGUUGGGGGCAUUCGUAUUUAAUUGUCAGAGGUGAGAUUCUUGGAUUUUUUAAAGACGAACUUAUGCGAAAGCAUUUGCCAAGGAUGUUUUCAA